rfam:Myotis davidii contig314947, whole genome shotgun sequence.
CAUGCACCAGUGGGGUCCCUCAGCCUGGCCUGUGGGAUUGGGCUAAAACCGGCUCUCUGACAUCCCCUGAGGGGUUCCAGAUUGUGAGAGGGCGCAGGCCAGGCUGAGGGACCCCACUGGUGCACA